rnacentral:rRNA from 1 species
UAGCGUAGGGGGCUAGCGUUGUCCGGAAUCAUUGGGCGUAAAGAGCGCGUAGGCGGCCAGAUAAGUCCGGUGUGAAAGUCACAGGCUCAACCUGUGAAUGCCGCUGGAAACUGUCUGGCUAGAGUCCGGAAGGGGCGAGUGGAAUUCCUGGUGUAGCGGUGAAAUGCGCAGAUAUCAGGAGGAACACCAAUGGCGAAGGCAGCUCGCUGGAACGGUACUGACGCUGUGGCGCGAAAGCGUGGGGAGCGAACAGG